UACGUAGGGUGCAAGCGUUAAUCGGAAUUACUGGGCGUAAAGCGUGCGCAGGCGGUUGGGCAAGACAGAUGUGAAAUCCCCGGGCUUAACCUGGGAAUGGCAUUUGUGACUGCCCGGCUAGAGUGUGUCAGAGGGGGGGUAGAAUUCCACGUGUAGCAGUGAAAUGCGUAGAUAUGUGGAGGAACACCGAUGGCGAAGGCAGCCCCCUGGGUCAAGAUUGACGCUCAUGCACGAAAGCGUGGGGAGCAAACAGG
rnacentral:rRNA from 1 species